GAAAUGCGAUAAGUAAUGUGAAUUGCAGAAUUCAGUGAAUCAUCGAAUCUUUGAACGCACAUUGCGCCCGCCAGCACUCUGGCGGGCAUGCCUGUUCGAGCGUCAUUUCAACCCUCAGAACCCCUUGCGGGAUCUGGCGUUGGGGAUUGGCAUCCAGCCAGCCCCGAAAUCUAGUGGCGGUCCCUCCGCGACCUCCCCUGUGCAGUAGCGAUACCUCGCAGCGGGACAGCGGUCUGACCACGCCGUAAAACCCCCAACUUCUCAAGGUUGACCUCGAAUCAGGUAUAAAUACCCGCUGAACUUAGGC
rnacentral:misc_RNA from 1 species